GACCUGUGCGUGUACACUCAUG
rnacentral:miRNA from 1 species